UUCAGAAGAGCAGCAAGUCACACCUGAAAAUUAUGAUGAUGUAAUCACUGUUGGACUGAGACCUCGUGAUACAGAAAACUAUGAUGAUGUCAUCAUUGUACGACAAUUCUCCAAUGAUAAAGCAGACUAUGAUGAUGUGGGGGAGGAGCCA